rnacentral:rRNA from 1 species
GACGAACGCUGGCGGCGUGCUUAACACAUGCAAGUCGAACGAAGAGCGAUGGAAGCUUGCUUCUAUCAAUCUUAGUGGCGAACGGGUGAGUAACGCGUAAUCAACCUGCCCUUCAGAGGGGGACAACAGUUGGAAACGACUGCUAAUACCGCAUACGAUCUAAUCUCGGCAUCGAGGAUAGAUGAAAGGUGGCCUCUACAUGUAAGCUAUCACUGAAGGAGGGGAUUGCGUCUGAUUAGCUAGUUGGAGGGGUAACGGCCCACCAAGGCGAUGAUCAGUAGCCGGUCUGAGAGGAUGAACGGCCACAUUGGGACUGAGACACGGCCCAGACUCCUACGGGAGGCAGCAGUGGGGAAUCUUCCGCAAUGGACGAAAGUCUGACGGAGCAACGCCGCGUGAGCGAUGACGGCCUUCGGGUUGUAAAGCUCUGUUAAUCGGGACGAAAGGCCUUCUUGCGAAUAGCGAGAAGGAUUGACGGUACCGGAAUAGAAAGCCACGGCUAACUACGUG